AUACGUAGGGUGCAAGCGUUAAUCGGAAUUACUGGGCGUAAAGCGUGCGCAGGCGGUUUUGUAAGACAGGGGUGAAAACCCCGGGCUCAACCUGGGAACUGCCAUUGUGACUGCAAGGCUGGAGUGCGGCCGAGGGGGAUGGAAUUCCGCGUGUAGCAGGGAAAAGCGUAGAUAUGGGGAGGAACACCGAUGGCGAAGGCAAUCCCCUGGGCCUGCACUGACGCUCAUGCACGAAAGCGUGGGGAGCAAACAGGAUUAGAUACCCUGGUAGUCCACGCCCUAAACAAUGUCAACUGGUUGUUGGGGAUUUAUUUUCUCAGUAACGAAGCUAACGCGUGAAGUUGACCGCCUGGGGAGUACGGCCGCAAGGUUAAAACUCAAAGGAAUUGACGGGG
rnacentral:rRNA from 1 species